rnacentral:rRNA from 1 species
CCUACGGGUGGCAGCAGUGGGGAAUAUUGCACAAUGGGGGAAACCCUGAUGCAGCGACGCCGCGUGAGUGAAGAAGUACUUCGGUAUGUAAAGCUCUAUCAGCAGGGAAGAAAAUGAUGGUACUUGAUUAAGAAGCCCCGGCUAACUACGUGCCAGCAGCCGCGGGAAUACGUAGGGGGCAAGCGUGAUCCGGAUUUACUGGGUGUAAAGGGAGCGUAGACGGCAGCACAAGUCUGGAGUGAAAUGCCGGGGCUUAACCCCGGAACUGCUUUGGAGACUGUGCAGCUAGAGUGCAGGAGAGGUGAGUGGAAUUCCAGGUGUAGCGGUGAAAUGCGUAGAGAGUAGGAGGAACACCAGUGGCGAAGGCGGCUUACUGGACUGUAACUGACGUUGAGGCUCGAAAGCGUGGGGAGCAAACAGGAUUAGAUACCCGGGUAGUC